rnacentral:tRNA from 2 species
GCCGACUUAGCUCAGUUGGUAGAGCACAGCAUUCGUAAUGCUGGGGUCAUCAGUUCAAAUCUGAUAGUCGGCACCA